UAAUGUUGUUAUCCAUGAUGAGCGUGACCUUAAUGUUAUCCGUGUUCGAGAGGCAAAGGAAAAGGAAAUUGCCAAGGCAUUGUUGAAGAAAAACGAAAAGACCACCGUUUCGGGCAAGGGAAAGGAAAAUGCAUGUUCAGUAGCACAUAACAAUAAUGUUAUAUCGAAAGCUGCAUUGGCUCAACGUGCACGGCGAGAAUGCGAAAGAAAUGAUAAGGCAAACUCUUCACAUCAAUUGGGACAACGUUCACAACAUGAACGAGAGAGAUAGAGAGAAUUGAUUCCACCAAGC